rnacentral:rRNA from 1 species
GAUGAACGCUGGCGGCGUGCCUAAUACAUGCAAGUCGAGCGAACGGACGAGAAGCUUGCUUCUCUGAUGUUAGCGGCGGACGGGUGAGUAACACGUGGAUAACCUACCUAUAAGACUGGGAUAACUUCGGGAAACCGGAUCUAAUACCGGAUGAUAUUUUGAACCGCAUGGUUCAAAAGUGAAAGACGGUCUUGCUGUCACUUAUAGAUGGAUCCGCGCUGCAUUAGCUAGUUGGUAAGGUAACGGCUUACCAAGGCAACGAUGCAUAGCCGACCUGGGAGGGUGAUCGGCCACACUGGAACUGAGACACGGUCCAGACUCCUACGGGAGGCAGCAGUAGGGAAUCUUCCGCAAUGGGCGAAAGCCUGACGGAGCAACGCCGCGUGAGUGAUGAAGGUCUUCGGAUCGUAAAACUCUGUUAUUAGGGAAGAACAUAUGUGUAAGUAACUGUGCACAUCUUGACGGUACCUAAUCAGAAAGCCACGGCUAACUACGUG